GAUGAAUGCUGGCGGCGCGCCUAACACAUGCAAGUCGAGCGGAAAGGCCCUUCGGGGUACUCGAGCGGCGGACGGCUGAGUAACGCGUGGGAACAUGCCCCAAAGUGAGGAAUAACUGCCCGAAAGGGUAGCUAAUACCGCAUAUGAUCUUCGGAUUAAAGGAUUAUCCGCUUUGGGAGUGGCCCGCGUACGAUUAGGUAGUUGGUGAGGUAAAGGCUCACCAAGCCUACGAUCGUUAACUGGUCUGAGAGGAUGAUCAGUCAGACUGGAACUGAGACACGGUCCAGACUCCUACGGGAGGCAGCAGUGAGGAAUCUUCCACAAUGGGCGAAAGCCUGAUGGAGCGACGCCGCGUGCAGGAUGAAGGCCUUCGGGUUGUAAACUGCUUUUAUAAGUGAAGAAUAUGACGGUAACUUAUGAAUAAGCACCGGCUAACUACGUGCCAGCAGCCGCCGUAAGA
rnacentral:rRNA from 1 species